rnacentral:rRNA from 1 species
CCCAGAUGGGAUUAGCUAGUAGGUGGGGUAACGGCUCACCUAGGCGACGAUCCCUAGCUGGUCUGAGAGGAUGACCAGCCACACUGGAACUGAGACACGGUCCAGACUCCUACGGGAGGCAGCAGUGGGGAAUAUUGCACAAUGGGCGCAAGCCUGAUGCAGCCAUGCCGCGUGUAUGAAGAAGGCCUUCGGGUUGUAAAGUACUUUCAGCGGGGAGGAAGGGAGUAAAGUUAAUACCUUUGCUCAUUGACGUUACCCGCAGAAGAAGCACCGGCUAACUCCGUGCCAGCAGCCGCGGUAAUACGGAGGGUGCAAGCGUUAAUCGGAAUUACUGGGCGUAAAGCGCACGCAGGCGGUUUGUUAAGUCAGAUGUGAAAUCCCCGGGCUCAACCUGGGAACUGCAUCUGAUACUGGCAAGCUUGAGUCUCGUAGAGGGGGGUAGAAUUCCAGGUGUAGCGGUGAAAUGCGUAGAGAUCUGGANGGAAUACCGGUGGCGAAGGCGGCCCCCUGGACGAAGACUGACGCUCAGGUGCGAAAGCGUGGGGAGCAAACAGNGAUUAGAUACCCUGGUAGUCCACGCCGUAAACGAUGUCGACUUGGAGGUUGUGCCCUUGAGGCGUGGCUUCCGGAGCUAACGCGUUAAGUCGACCGCCUGGGGAGUACGGCCGCAANGNGUUAAAACUCAAAUGAAUUGACGGGGGCCCGCACAAGCGGUGGAGCAUGUGGUUUAAUUCGAUGCAACGCGAAGAACCUUACCUGGUCUUGACAUCCACGGAAGUUUUCAGAGAUGAGAAUGUGCCUUCGGGAACCGUGAGACAGGUGCUGCAUGGCUGUCGUCAGCUCGUGUUGUGAAAUGUUGGGUUAAGUCCCGCAACGAGCGCAACCCUUAUCCUUUGUUGCCAGCGGUCCGGCCGGGAACUCAAAGGAGACUGCCAGUGAUAAACUGGAGGAAGGUGGGGAUGACGUCAAGUCAUCAUGGCCCUUACGACCAGGGCUACACACGUGCUACAAUGGCGCAUACAAAGAGAAGCGACCUCGCGAGAGCAAGCGGACCUCAUAAAGUGCGUCGUAGUCCGGAUUGGAGUCUGCAACUCGACUCCAUGAAGUCGGAAUCGCUAGUAAUCGUGGAUCAGAAUGCCACGGUGAAUACGUUCCCGGGCCUUGUACACGCCGCCCGUCACACCAUGGGAGUGGGUUGCAAAAGAAGUAGGUAGCUUAACCUUCGGGAGGGCGCUUACCACUUUGUGAUUCAUGACUGGGGUGAAGUCGUAACAAGGUAACC